CAAUAGCGUAUAUUAAAGUUGUUGCGGUUAAAAAGCUCGUAGUUGGAUUUCUGCUGAGAACGACCGGUCCGCCCUUUGGGUGUGUAUCUGGCUCUUUCUUGGCAUCUUCUUGGUGAACGUUGCUGCACUUGACUGUGUGGAGCGCUACCCAGGACUUUUACUUUGAGGAAAUUAGAGUGUUUCAAGCAGGCAUACGCCUUGAAUACAUUAGCAUGGAAUAAUAAGAUAGGACCUCGGUUCUAUUUUGUUGGUUUCUAGAGCUGAGGUAAUGAUUAAUAGGGAUAGUUGGGGGCAUUCGUAUUUAACUGUCAGAGGUGAAAUUCUUGGAUUUAUGGAAGACGAACUACUGCGAAAGCAUUUACCAAGGAUGUUUUCAUUAA
rnacentral:rRNA from 1 species